GACGAACGCUGGCGGCGUGCUUAACACAUGCAAGUCGAACGGAAAGGCCCUGCUUUUGUGGGGUGCUCGAGUGGCGAACGGGUGAGUAACACGUGAGUAACCUGCCCUUGACUUUGGGAUAACUUCAGGAAACUGGGGCUAAUACCGGAUAGGAGCUCCUGCUGCAUGGUGGGGGUUGGAAAGUUUCGGCGGUUGGGGAUGGACUCGCGGCUUAUCAGCUUGUUGGUGGGGUAGUGGCUUACCAAGGCUUUGACGGGUAGCCGGCCUGAGAGGGUGACCGGCCACAUUGGGACUGAGAUACGGCCCAGACUCCUACGGGAGGCAGCAGUGGGGAAUAUUGCGCAAUGGGCGGAAGCCUGAUGCAGCAACGCCGCGUGCGGGAUGACGGCCUUCGGGCUGUAAACCGCUUUCGCCUGUGACGAAGCGUGAGUGACGGUAAUGGGUAAAGAAGCACCGGCUAACUACGUG
rnacentral:rRNA from 1 species